UAGGGAAUCUUCCACAAUGGACGCAAGUCUGAUGGAGCAACGCCGCGUGAGUGAAGAAGGCUUUCGGGUCGUAAAACUCUGUUGUUGGAGAAGAAUGGUCGGCAGAGUAACUGUUGUCGGCGUGACGGUAUCCAACCAGAAAGCCACGGCUAACUACGUGCCAGCAGCCGCGGUAAUACGUAGGUGGCAAGCGUUAUCCGGAUUUAUUGGGCGUAAAGCGAGCGCAGGCGGUUUUUUAAGUCUGAUGUGAAAGCCCUCGGCUUAACCGAGGAAGCGCAUCGGAAACUGGGAAACUUGAGUGCAGAAGAGGACAGUGGAACUCCAUGUGUAGCGGUGAAAUGCGUAGAUAUAUGGAAGAACACCAGUGGCGAAGGCGGCUGUCUGGUCUGUAACUGACGCUGAGGCUCGAAAGCAUGGGUAGCGAACAGGAUUAGAUACCCUGGUAGUCCAUGCCGUAAACGAUGAAUGCUAGGUGUUGGAGGGUUUCCGCCCUUCAGUGCCGCAGCUAACGCAUUAAGCAUUCCGCCUGGGGGAGUACGACCGCAAGGUUGAA
rnacentral:rRNA from 1 species